AGGUGUAGAUGGUGUUUGACACAACACCUGGCCCAAUUGGUGGUCGGAUCAGCCGGAUUUCGGCGGGGAAGCUGAAGUGUCGUGCGCGCACAGGGGAGGAGUUCGCGUGUGUUUUCCGGCCACCUGGGACGAUGGCCGGCCGUGGGGAGGCAAUGGGGCGGCGCGCAGGCGAGGUGGGGAGGCGGCGGCAUGGCCUAGGGGUGAGGGA
rnacentral:misc_RNA from 1 species